rnacentral:rRNA from 1 species
UACGUAGGGAGCGAGCGUUGUCCGGAUUUACUGGGUGUAAAGGGUGCGUAGGCGGCCCUGCAAGUCAGAAGUGAAAUCCAUGGGCUUAACCCGUGAACUGCUUUUGAAACUGCAGGACUUGAGUGGAGUAGAGGUAGGCGGAAUUCCCGGUGUAGCGGUGAAAUGCGUAGAGAUCGGGAGGAACACCAGUGGCGAAGGCGGCCUACUGGGCUUUAACUGACGCUGAAGCACGAAAGCGUGGGUAGCAAACAGG